rnacentral:rRNA from 1 species
CUUGCUGCUUUGCUGACGAGUGGCGGACGGGUGAGUAAUGUCUGGGAAACUGCCUGAUGGAGGGGGAUAACUACUGGAAACGGUGGCUAAUACCGCAUAACGUCGCAAGACCAAAGAGGGGGACCUUCGGGCCUCUUGCCAUCAGAUGUGCCCAGAUGGGAUUAGCUUGUUGGUGAGGUAACGGCUCACCAAGGCGACGAUCCCUAGCUGGUCUGAGAGGAUGACCAGCCACACUGGAACUGAGACACGGUCCAGACUCCUACGGGAGGCAGCAGUGGGGAAUAUUGCACAAUGGGCGCAAGCCUGAUGCAGCCAUGCCGCGUGUAUGAAGAAGGCCUUCGGGUUGUAAAGUACUUUCAGCGGGGAGGAAGGUGUUGUGGUUAAUAACCGCAGCAAUUGACGUUACCCGCAGAAGAAGCACCGGCUAACUCCGUGCCAGCAGCCGCGGUAAUACGGAGGGUGCAAGCGUUAAUCGGAAUUACUGGGCGUAAAGCGCACGCAGGCGGUCUGUCAAGUCGGAUGUGAAAUCCCCGGGCUCAACCUGGGAACUGCAUUCGAAACUGGCAGGCUUGAGUCUUGUAGAGGGGGGUAGAAUUCCAGGUGUAGCGGUGAAAUGCGUAGAGAUCUGGAGGAAUACCGGUGGCGAAGGCGGCCCCCUGGACAAAGACUGACGCUCAGGUGCGAAAGCGUGGGGAGCAAACAGGAUUAGAUACCCUGGUAGUCCACGCCGUAAACGAUGUCUACUUGGAGGUUGUGCCCUUGAGGCGUGGCUUCCGGAGCUAACGCGUUAAGUAGACCGCCUGGGGAGUACGGCCGCAAGGUUAAAACUCAAAUGAAUUGACGGGGGCCCGCACAAGCGGUGGAGCAUGUGGUUUAAUUCGAUGCAACGCGAAGAACCUUACCUGGUCUUGACAUCCACAGAAGAAUCCAGAGAUGGAUUUGUGCCUUCGGGAACUGUGAGACAGGUGCUGCAUGGCUGUCGUCAGCUCGUGUUGUGAAAUGUUGGGUUAAGUCCCGCAACGAGCGCAAC